AUAUACUACACAUCAGCCAGAAGGAAUCGAGCAUCCUUUGACCUCAAAGAGGUGGUGACCAAGCAGGGACAGGAUUCCCAUAUCUUCAUGUAGUUCAUCACACAGGGAUGUGGUGAUCACUGAGCCCAAGCCAGAGCAACCACUUGGCAUCUGCACAGAGAACCAUCUGGUUCUUCUCUGUCCUUCAGCCUCAGGCCUACUCAUUGCUUAUCUGUUCUCUUGAACCUCAUUUGACUAUUUCCAAGCUACUAGUUCUUCUAAG
ensembl:lncRNA